GAUGAACGCUGGCGGCGUGCCUAAUACAUGCAAGUCGAGCGAACAGACGAGGAGCUUGCUCCUCUGACGUUAGCGGCGGACGGGUGAGUAACACGUGGAUAACCUACCUAUAAGACUGGGAUAACUUCGGGAAACCGGAGCUAAUACCGGAUAAUAUAUUGAACCGCAUGGUUCAAUAGUGAAAGACGGUUUUGCUGUCACUUAUAGAUGGAUCCGCGCCGCAUUAGCUAGUUGGUAAGGUAACGGCUUACCAAGGCAACGAUGCGUAGCCGACCUGAGAGGGGGAUCGGCCACACUGGAACUGAGACACGGUCCAGACUCCUACGGGAGGCAGCAGUAGGGAAUCUUCCGCAAUGGGCGAAAGCCUGACGGAGCAACGCCGCGUGAGUGAUGAAGGUCUUCGGAUUGUAAAACUCUGUUAUUAGGGAAGAACAAAUGUGUAAGUAACUAUGCACGUCUUGACGGUACCUAAUCAGAAAGCCACGGCUAACUACGUG
rnacentral:rRNA from 1 species